rnacentral:misc_RNA from 1 species
CUGAGACUGGGUGCUUCGGCGCCCGACCUCCAACCCCUUGUCUAUCUACCACUGUUGCCUCGGCGCGCUCCCUCGCGGGGGCCGCCGGCGGCCCAAACCAUAAACCCUUCUUAAACCACGUCUUCUGAGAAAUAGAAUUAAUAAUUCA